GGGACGGUAGGGCGGUGUCAUGAAACAGAAUAAAUGUAAUAUUCACGAAUAGGCGUGCAGUUUGUUUUCUGCGGUAAAUGUGCAAAUAUGUAGAUAUAGCUGAACACAAGUGAAGCCAUGGAAUUAAUUAAAUGGAUUGUACUUGAAUGUCGUUAAAAUACACGAUUGAAGAAAAAAAAUAACAAUUAAAUAAUAAGAAGAAAUAAUAACAGUCCAGGCGUAUUUGAUCUAAAAUGACGUUUCUAAGAAUUAAUAUAAAUGAGAAUAAUAGCAAUAAAAAUAUAAUUAAUCAAUAAUUCAAUCAAUAAUUUGUAGUGAAUUAUAACCAGAUGUGUUCCAAAAUCAACAAUCAAAUAAUAGAAAUGACCAUAACAACAAAAUUACUAAUACUACUACUAAUAAUAACAUCAAUACAUUAUUAUUAUAGUCUAAAAUUAGCCGUAAUAUUUCUCAAUUUUAUUUAGUCUAAAAUGACCAAUACAUCCUUAAAACUAACCAUAUUACUAUUAUUAUUAUUAUUAUUAUUAUUAUUAUAGUCUAAAAUUAGCCGUAAUAUUUCUCAAUUUUAUUUAGUCUAAAAUGACCAAUACAUCCUUAAAACUAACCAUAUAUUAUUAUUAUUAUUAUUAUUAUUAUUAUUAUUAUUAUAACAACAACUUCGGAGUAAAAAAUAACAGAUAUGAUCAAAGACAACAAUAAACUAAAAACAAUAAGCAUAAACAAGACAAUACAAUUUUUUUAAAAGAGAAAUACAACACAGAUUUGUUUACCAACAGUAAAAUAACAAUAGAUAAAUAUAAGUUAUUUCAUUUUAAAUAACAUUUCCAAUUACUACUGUAAAAUAUCUAAUAACGACUACAUACUAAUAGCCAUAAUAAUAAUAAUUUUGGAGUGAAACAAAUCUGUGUUCAAAACCAAUAAAAUAAUAAUAACCUUAACAAGAACAGCAACAACAAUAGCAGGCUAAUAGUAAAUAAAUAAAAUUGUAUCGGAGUAGAUUUUGUGAAGCAAAAGUCUGUAAUUCUACUGUAAAUAUGAAUAUCUGUUGAUUAUACAAAAACAAAUAAAUAAACCAUCUAAAAACGAUUACCACCUUCAUCGGCUACAGCGAGCACGCGCCGCUAGGCGGCAGCAGCGGAAAGAGCUCACGUGCGUAGACCUCGCUGAACCGGAAGUGCGUAUAACACCAGCUGAUGAGAUAAACGGGAAAUCCGCGAAGCAUAUUUUAUGCGUUUAUUGUUUAUUUACAGUGCAUUUUUGUAAAUGUACAGUAAGCUGAGAGUCGGUUAAGAGCAGCAACUUGAUCCUCCUGUAAUAUAAAGUUAAUAAGUCGCUGAAGCAUAAUGCCUGAAGUGAAGUCGAUGUUUAGAGAGGUCCUGCCUAAACAAGACAAAGUUGAAAGACGUCCCGCAUGACAAUCAAAACAGCUACAGCACUGGAGGCAACGGCUCAACUUCAGACCGGAUCUUGCUGCAAACACCCAGAGCAUGAGGGCUGUGUUGCGUUUUAUCUGUGCAGGUCAGCUGUCCAU